rnacentral:tRNA from 1 species
GGGGCUGUGGUGCAGUCUGGUCUAACACGCUGGCCUGUCAAGCCAGAGAUCGCGGGUUCAAUUCCCGUCAGCCCCGCCA